UGGGGAAUUUUGGACAAUGGGCGCAAGCCUGAUCCAGCCAUGCCGCGUGUCUGAAGAAGGCCUUCGGGUUGUAAAGGACUUUUGUCAGGGAAGAAAAGGCUGUUGCUAAUAUCGACAGCUGAUGACGGUACCUGAAGAAUAAGCACCGGCUAACUACGUGCCAGCAGCCGCGGUAAUACGUAGGGUGCGAGCGUUAAUCGGAAUUACUGGGCGUAAAGCGAGCGCAGACGGUUACUUAAGCAGGAUGUGAAAUCCCCGGGCUCAACCUGGGAACUGCGUUCUGAACUGGGUGACUAGAGUGUGUCAGAGGGAGGUAGAAUUCCACGUGUAGCAGUGAAAUGCGUAGAGAUGUGGAGGAAUACCGAUGGCGAAGGCAGCCUCCUGGGAUAACACUGACGUUCAUGCUCGAAAGCGUGGGUAGCAAACAGGAUUAGAUACCCUGGUAGUCCACGCCCUAAACGAUGUCAAUUAGCUGUUGGGCAACUUGAUUGCUUAGUAGCGAAGCUAACGCGUGAAAUCGACCGCCUGGGGAGUACGGUCGCAAGAUUA
rnacentral:rRNA from 1 species